rnacentral:lncRNA from 1 species
AACCUUAUUUUUUAUAUUUUUCUGACACAAAGGAAAUCACUGCUGCUCCUAAGUGAUCUUUCAAUGCAGAGAAACACCCUCAUUAGUUUUUUUUCCCACCUUCUCACCUUCUUUCAUUAAACCGUACUCUUUGCAGUCCCAGCUGAACAGCAGGGAACAUUAUGAGCUGACUGAAAAGCAUUUUCCUUUGUUAACAUGUUUUUUCUUCAUCGAGCAAUAGAACAGUAAUGAGGACACAGAUCAUCUUUUCAUUAUAAGCGCGCAUAGAGAAGUACAAAAGGAAAAAAAAGAGUGGGUCCCCAAAAUAAAUAAAUAAACAACGUAACUGAGUGGCCAAGGGAAGAAAUGGAGAGACCCAAGAUGACAAAGCUUUCCCUCGCGCUCUACCUUUGCUAGUAUACAGAGGCAUCAAAGUCAAGUCUCCAAGAGAUGUUGGGUGCUCUGAAUGUUGCAUUUAAUGGAAAUAGGCAUAGAUUGUAUCUGCAACUUCUAUGCAAUGCAAAUCGAUAUCAUCCAUCAGUAUGGCAAAAGGAGCCAACAAAUAAACAAACAAAACCCAACUGAAAACACCGCCUAAGAUGACUCUGAAAUAGAUUGGCUCUUUCAUGGAAAUAUACAGAUUUGUUUUCCCUCUUAACUUUUGUUCGCGUUUUCCUUGUUCCUGCUAGAUACAAAAACAAGCCUUCCUGUCAGGUUUUAAAUAGGGACGGUAUAUACCAGCAUACACGUUCAGUUCCAGAAAACAGAAACGAUUACGAAUCUGCAUGAGGGCUGCACAUUUCCUACAUCAGGUUCCUUACACGAUGGAAGUGUGUGGAGGAGGCACUGCUUCUGUGUGUGUGCUUGUACGGUGCUUAAUAAGGAGAGACCGCUGCUGGAGAGCGGGGAGGGAGCUCAACUGCCCCCUAACCAUGAAACCCAGCUGGGGUAAGGAUCCAUAGCACGCUCUGUUGGAGCCAUGUUCCUGGGAACCCUGCGGUGUGUGUGCUUAAGGAUUUCUGCAGCCUCCCCCUCUAAGGCUGGGUGUCUCAGCAGUGUGGUGGCAGAGGGAAACGCAGUGAGCCUGGGUGAGCUGCUCCCCUGCACUUCAGCAGAAACGUGCAGAGAUUCUGAAGGAGUAAGAAACACAAACUUCCACCUCUUCUUUUGUGCCAAGCUGCACCACAGUCUGCUCUUCAGCAGACAGCCUGGCUAUUCCUUUCACCUCUGCCAGCUUCUCAAUGCCUUUUUUUUGCCAUUAUUAUGACAAUUGUGGCUACAUUUGCUCAUAUGGUCGAAGCUUGCUAAUGCUAUCCAUCCCUUCCCCCCUGCAAAUUAUUCAGUAUAGUGUCACUAGCCUCAGCAUAAAAUGUACAUUUGCGUGCUUGUUUUCAUUUAAUAAAACCCUUUGGUCAC